GGCAGUUCUUGGGUCACGUACCCGGAAUCGGGCUCCUUCGUCUCUGGUUCCGGGUGCGUCACCCAAGAACCGCA
rfam:Myotis lucifugus cont2.5983, whole genome shotgun sequence.